AUUGAACGCUGGCGGGAGGCUUAACACAUGCAAGUCGAACGAGUGGCGGACGGGUGAGUAAUAUCUGGGAAACUGCCCAGUGGAGGGGGAUAACUACUGGAAACAGUAGCUAAUACCGCAUACUAUCGGAGCGGCCGAUAUGGGAUUAGCUAGUGGGUGGGGUAACGGCUCACCUAGGCAACGAUCCCUAGCUGGUCUGAGAGGAUGACCAGCCACACUGGAACUGAGACACGGCCCAGACUCCUACGGGAGGCAGCAGUGGGGAAUAUUGGACAAUGGGCGAAACCCUGAUGCAGCCAUGCCGCGUGUAUGAUGAAGGCCUUCGGGUUGUAAAGUACUUUCAGCGGGGAGGCGUUACUCGCAGAAGAAGCACCGGCUAACUCCGUGCCAGCAGCCGCGGUAAUUC
rnacentral:rRNA from 1 species